rnacentral:ncRNA from 1 species
GAUUAAUUUGGUUUUGGUUAGAUAAAGAAUUAGCAUUGAAACUAUCAUAAAAAUUUUGAUAUAGAUUUUCUUUUUCAAAAAGAAUUUUAUAAUUAGUGGUGAAUUUUUCUAAUAAAAAUGAAAGUUUGUUUAAGUUUAUGCUGAGAAGGGGCUAAUAGUAGGUGCCAGCAGCUGCGGUUAUACCUAUUCUUAUCUUUAUUUUUGGGUAAAAUACAAAUUAAAUAUUUGAGAGAAACUGAAAUUAAUCCGGUUAAAUGGGUUUAAAUCAAGUAUUCAAAAUUCAAAUAGUAGUAUUGUUAAAGUUUAUAGAAAGACCAAGAUUAGGUACCUUGUUAUUAUAAACUGUAAAUAAUAACACCCAGAGUAGUAAAAUAAUUAAAACUCAAAAGACCUGGCGGUGGAUGUUCUUCCUACCAGAGGAGGGUGCUAAGUAAUAGAUAAUCCGCAAAUUAAUAAACCUUUAUUUUUUAAGUCAGUGUACGGCCGCUUUCAGAUAAUUUUCAUAGAAUUAUUAUAAUUAUCUUUGUUUUCUAAUUUUGGAACUAGCUAAGACAGGUCAAUGUGCUGCUGAUAUUAAGGGUUAAUGGUGCGCUAUUUUUAUUUUAGGUAAAGGAUUCUCAUCUGUAAGGUUGGGAUGAAUUGAGAUUUGGUAGUAAUGAGGUUAUUUAAUAUGUACUCAUGAAUUAAGGUAAAGCUCUGUGUACACAUCGCCCGUCGUUCUUUUUGAAAAAAAAGAGAAGUCGUAACAUGGUAGUCCUAAUAGAAAUUGGGGCUAAAUAAAG